UUAAUAUAAUUAUUUAUUUUAUUUUUUUUUAAUAAUUAUUUUAUUUUUUUUAGUAGUAUAUUGAAUAAAAUUUUAUAUUUUAAACUGAAUAGGUUUAAUUAUUUUUUAAUAAAAGUAUUUAUAGUACCUUUUGUAUCAGGGUUAUUUAAUUAAAAUAUUUAUAUUAUUUUCCCGAAAUAAAAUGAUUUAAAUUUAUUUUGUUGUUCUUGUUUUAUAAAGUUUAUAAAAUUAAUUUUGGUAAUUAAAAGUUAUACGUUUUUUAUUAUAUCUGGUUAAUCAGGAUUUAAUUUAAUUAUAGAUUAAUUUAGUUUUUUUAAUUAUAUUAUUUUUUUAAUCUUAUUCAAUGCUGGAUAAUCUGUAUUGUUUAUUAAAAUUUUAAAAUCUAAAAGUUUAUUUUUUUUAAAAUCUUAAUUUAAGUUCUUAAUAGAUUAACUUUUUUUGUGUAAUAUUUUUUUAUAUUUAAUUUUUUACUGAUUUAAUUUAAUUAAUAAUUAAUUAUUUAAAAUAAUGGAUAAAUUAGUAAAAUUUUAAUUUUUUUAAAAUGAACUCGACAAAUUAUAUUUCCAACUGUUUAUCAAAAACAUUUCUUUUAGGUUUUAUUAAAAGUAAUUUCUGCCCUAUGAUUAAAUUUAAAUGGCUGCAGUAUUUUGACUGUACAAAGGUAGCAUAAUAAUUAGUCUUUUAAUUGAGGACUUGUAUGAAUGAAAAUAUGAGAUAAAAAUUUUAUUUUAAAUAGUUUUUGAAUUUAAUUUUUAAGUUAAAAAGCUUAAUUUUUUUAUAGGGACGAUAAGACCCUAUAGAACUUUAUUAAAAAAAAGUAAUUUUGGGUUUAAACUUAAAUUAAUUUAAUUGGGGUGAUUAAUAAAUUUAUUUUACUUUAUUUAGUAAUUUCAUUUAUAAAUGUUUAUUUGUUCCAUUAUUAUAUGAUUAUAAGUUUAAGUUACCUUAGGGAUAACAGCGUAAUUUUAAUGGGGAGUUCAUAUCUAUAUUAAAGUUUGCGACCUCGAUGUUGAAUUAAGAUAAAAUUAAGGGGUAGAUUCUUUAAAUUUAAGUCUGUUCGACUUUUAAAUUCUUACAUGAUUUGAGUUCAAACCGGUGUAAGCCAGGUUGGUUUCUAUCUUAUAAAUUAAAUUUAUAUUAGUACGAAAGGACCAUAUAAUUCAAUACUAUAAUUGUUAAUAA
rnacentral:rRNA from 1 species